rnacentral:lncRNA from 1 species
CUCGUGCACACACUUGGCGCGGAUCCCGUGGGGCUGUGGAGCAGCCGCUUUUUAUGCCCAUGCAACUGUGCAGAGUCCUCAGAUAACACAUCCCAAAGCCUGUCAGAGCCAGAGGCACAAGGCCCCACUUAUACUUGGGCAAAGAGAGGCCAGGGGUCUUGCCCAAGUCACUGGCAAAGCCGCAGCUCAGACCCCGGCGUCGGUUUCCAGGCCCCUCCUCUCUGCUCCGCUCCUCUCCAGGCCCCUCCUCUCUGCUCCGCUCCUCUCCAGGCCCCUCCCAGUUUUUGGUUAAACUUCUCAUGUCACGUUUUCUGACAACACCUUCCAUUGUACCAUCUGUUUCUGAACAAUACCUGGGACAUUGCAAACUUGUUCUGCAAGAAUACCCUGGGUCUCAGUGUGUGUGACAAGGGAUGGAAGAAUUCACCAGUAAAACCACCUGGACCUGAAAUUUUUUCAUGGGAAAGUUUUUGAUGAUGUAUUCAAUCUCUACUCAAAUGUUCUAUUUCAUCUUGUGUCAAUUUUGAGUUUUGCUCUUGUUGCCCAAGCUGGAGUUCAAUGGUGUGAUCUCGGCUCACUGCAACCUCCACCUCCUGGGUUCAAGUGAUUCUCCUGCCUCAUCCUCCUGAGUAGCUGGGAUUACAGUAGAUACGUGGUCUUGCUAUGUUGCCCAGGCUGGUCUCAGACUCCUGGGCUCAAAGGAUCUGCCUGCCUCAGCCUCCGGAAGUGCUGGGAUUACAGGUGUGAGCCACUGUACUCCGCCACAGGAGCGUGUGGCCGGGGACUCGUGCAUGCCAGGGAAGAGCACUGGCUUCCGGAUCCUCUGACUUCACCAUGUGACUUGGCCAGCAAUGACCCUGGGUUAGAGAUAGGUGGAGCGGAGGCAGGCAGUGGUCAGAGACCCCAGACAUGGGGUCCUGGCACCACAACUGUGAUUUUCCAUCACUUUAGAGGCACCAACAGGGGUCCCUCUGGAAACGUGGAGCAGAAUCAUCCAGGAUCCCGAAGAGGACUUUGUCCUCCUGCCCAUUUCCAGUUCCUCUCCCAUCUCCUCUGGUUUCCAGAAGCAGCACAUCCCCGGCCCCACCCCUCAUCUGUAUACGGAUCCUCCUAAUGCAGACCCAGGUGAUGGAAAACCCGUCUACAACGAACCAAGGCUGUUCGUGCUUUCAAAUAUUAAAUUCUGUUCAGAAUAUUAAAUAAUUUCAUCUUCAGUGAUCCCAGUAAAUUUAAUUAGCUCUUGUUCUCCCAAUAGAGUUGUCUCUUGGUUGCUGAAAUGUUGCAUUCUCAAGGAAGGAGGCCCACAUUCCUGCAGCGCGGAGGGCUCGCUGUCUCCCUGCGCAGCCUGCCCUGCCGCAGGCACCACGGCACAUCGGCUGCCAGGAUCCCCUGUGCCCUGGCAGGAGGCGGAUGACACGGAGCUCUGCUGUCCGUGAGCUGUUCAUUCUCUGGGGGCAGGGAGAACCUUGAGGGAUCUGCUGGGUACCCUCCGU